UACAGAGGUCCCAAGCGUUGUUCGGAUUCACUGGGCGUAAAGGGUGCGUAGGCGGUCGGGUAAGUCUGAUGUGAAAUCUCACAGCUUAACUGUGAAACUGCAUUGGAUACUAUCCGGCUCGAGGAAUGGAGGGGAGACUGGAAUACUUGGUGUAGCAGUGAAAUGCGUAGAUAUCAAGUGGAACACCAGUGGCGAAGGCGGCUCACUGGCCCGAUACUGACGCUGAGGUGCAAAAGCGUGGGGAGCAAACAGG
rnacentral:rRNA from 1 species